rnacentral:misc_RNA from 1 species
AUAAGCCCCAUUUGAUUAAAAUACGGAUUCAAUUACUUUUCCAAGAAAAGAAUUUGUUAAUUUAUCAAACUUUCCGAAGCCUAUCAGGCUUAGAACAGAGUGUAUGGUUGUAUGGUUAUGGUGGAUUUCAUCUCAUGGGUUUAUGACUAAAUUAAGGUCUUUAUUAAACCCUGCAAAAAGUCCCUGUCCUGCUUUUUACUAUAACCCGGAGGAAGC